rnacentral:lncRNA from 1 species
AGACAAAGAAUAUCUCUCGAUACUCUUAAAUAUAGAUAUCUGGACUAAAUUGAACUUAGAUGACAAUUACAGUCAAGAUUCUGGAACUCAGAAUGGGCAAAGCAGGAAGAAGAGGAACCUGGUUUGAGGAAGAGGUGGUCCAGUAGUUCUCAAAUUUUAGUGUGCAUCAGAAUCACCUGGAAAGACUAUUAAAAUCCAGAUCGCUGGACCCCAGUCCCUGAGUUUCUGACGCAGUAGGUCUGGAGUGAGCCCAAGGAUGUGCGUUUCUAUGAAGUUUCCAGGAGAUGCUGAUGCUGCUGAUUCAGGGACAACACUUUGGAAACCACUGAGCUAAUGUGCCUUUGUUACCCUUCUUGAUCACAUAACAUGUGAAUUAUGUCUCUUGAAGACUUCCAAUCUUUAUUGAGGGAGAGGAGAAAGGGGCAAUUGAUUGAGGAGAAAGAAACUUGGCUUAAGGGGAAGUGGGCGCCUCCAGAGCACAGUGACCCAAGCUCUGGUCUUGAAGCCACCAAACCUGUGACCUGUGCAAGUGACUUCAUCCCUCUGAAGCUUGGUUUCCUGUAUGCAAAAUGGAAAUGAGAACAAUAUCAAUUCUGCUAAAAACAAGAGACUGUCGAGAUCAAAUGAGAUAAAUACGGAGUGAAACAAUUACCUUCAAAGUGGACAUCUGAAUUCCCCUCUGGGCAAGAACUGUCUUCCAUAAGGAAAAUAUCUUGACUAUUUACUUGAGGGUGGAAAGUGAGACUUGUAGUGCAAGGUCUAAAAGAAGGGAAAAGGCAGUAAAACCGCUCUGAAAGAGAAAUGGCUGGGAAUUGGGAAGGAGAGCACACCCACCGAGGAGGAGGGUGUGACUAAGUAGAAAGGCUGCCAUUUGCAAAAGCACUUUUUAGAACAGGGAUGGUUACUGUUCAGUUUUCAGCUGUUAGUGUUUCUAGAGAUAAAGCUUUCCUUUCUCCCUGAACGUUCAGGAAAAUUGUGGUUUGUUUUGUUGGUGGAAAUCAGGGAAAGGAAAAUGAGUUAUA